rnacentral:rRNA from 1 species
GACGAACGCUGGCGGCGUGCCUAAUACAUGCAAGUCGAGCGCAGGAAAUCGACGGAACCCUUCGGGGGGAAGUCGACGGAAUGAGCGGCGGACGGGUGAGUAACACGUAAAGAACCUGCCCUCAGGUCUGGGAUAACCACGAGAAAUCGGGGCGAAUACCGGAUGGGUCAUCGGACCGCAUGGUCCGAGGAUGAAAGGCGCUUCGGCGUCGCCUGGGGAUGGCUUUGAGGUGCAUUAGCUAGUUGGUGGGGUAAUGGCCCACCAAGGCGACGAUGCAUAGCCGCCGUGGGAGGGUGGUCGGCCACACUGGGACUGAGCGACGGCCCAGACUCCUACGGGAGGCAGCAGUAGGGAAUCUUCCACAAGGGACGAAAGUCUGAUGGGGCAACGCCGCGUGAACGAUGAAGGCCGUCGGGUCGUAAAGUUCUGUUGUAAGGGAAGAACAAGUGCCGCAGGCAAUGGCGGCACCUUGACGGUACCUUGCGAGAAAGCCACGGCUAACUACGUGCCAGCAGCCGCCGUAA